rnacentral:lncRNA from 1 species
CCGACAUGCCUAGUUCCUCUAUGUAGUGAGUCAAUAGUUGUUUUUUUUAAAUCAUAAAUAAAUCAUAACUAAUCAUAAAUCAUAAUCCACUAAAAUGCUUUAAUGCGCAUGUUGAUUUGAUUCAGAUGUGCUGAUAAUAUACAACCUGAUUAUUUAAACGUCUUACCCUUCAUAAGUGCAACACAGACGGUCCAUUGACCCACUCUGCUGCUACCCUAAUGCUUUGCUGCUCACUUCCGGGAACUAUUGAGAGGCUCCGUGAUCAGCCAUUGCUGGGGGGAAAACAAAAAAGGUCCAUUGGAGUGAGUGGAGUAGUCGCGACACACAUUGGACGGUUUUGGUCGGACCCACUGUGACGCACUUGUUUUUCCCGGACGCCAUUUUACGUGCAACUUCCGCUGGUGGCGACGGAACAGGCGGAUUAAUAUCUUGCAAUGACCGACUCUCUUUGUGCUAGCAAACGGGAGCGGAUCCAUGGAUCCAAACGCAACUUUUCCCUGCAAAUACUUCGACGAGUCUGUCUCAGCGCCUUUUGCCACCCAGCGAUUGGAGACAGUUUUAAUUGCAGCAUGACAACCACAAGAAAGGACCAGAAGCCCCAUAAAAGCCAAAGCAAGCUGGCAGCUGUCCCACAGUGGAAAGCUAGCCAUGCCAUAAUUACAGGUAAAAAGACCUCUAGCACUGUAGCUCAGCACCAUGUUUAUUUGACACCAAUCAUGCAACUAUGCAGGUAUCCUAACAAUAACGUGCUCUGCCCCGACAGGACUGCGGUGCCUCUCAGGAAGACUUGGACAUCACCGGCAAUCAAGGUAUGCCUUGUGGCGUGGAGACUGAGGCCUCGUCAGAACAUGAAAGUGUGCAGCGAGACCUUGACUUUAAAGAGCUCAGGCGAAUUCACCGGUGCAAGUUACAUUGUUCCCCAGUCAAAGAGGGGGCCUCGCAUGGCAUCAAUAAUUCAUUUUACAAGACUCACUUCUGCCUCCAGUGAGCGGGGUCGAUUUAAACGUUUUGAUAACCACAUCCAAGGGUGUAACGGGCCACAUUAAAGACGCAUUAGCAAAGUUAGA